AUGGACUUCCCUAAAUUUGAUGGAACAAAUCCACAAGAGUGGUUGAGAACUACAGAGAAGUACUUUGCUAUGGUAUAUGUACCUGAGGACGCUAAAUUGGACUAUGCUCAAAUGUAUAUCACUGGAAAAGCGGAUACAUGGCUGAGAAAUUCUGGGGUGCUGGAAGAAAAUCUCAAUUGGCAACAGCUUUGCCAGGUCUUAUGCAAAAGAUUCCAGGAAAAUAGCUCUUAUGAAGCUGCGGAGGAGUUUAAUUCCCCGAGACAAGGCUCCAAUAAAAUGGCAGCUUAUAAAAAGGAAAACCCAGAUGUCAAAGAGGGCUAUUACAUCAAAUGUUACAUAAAUGGGCUGAGAGGAGAAAUUAAGCACUAUUUGAAAUCAUUCAAACCCACUUCUCUUUAUGAAGCAGUGGAAAGUGCAAGAGAUAUGGAGCAAGGAGCUUCUGCCCAAACUAGAAGAUACAACUCCCAAAACACCUUCCAGAAAACCUCUACAACUACUUCCUACUAGAACAAAUACAGACCACCUGAAUUCCCAACUACUAAACCAGGAGACGAACUUGCUCACAAACCAGAGAGUAAGUUUAAAGAACCAGGACAAUGCAGGUACUAUGGACAAAAAUGGUUUCUGGGCCAUAAA
rnacentral:rRNA from 1 species